UACAGAGGGUGCAAGCGUUGUUCGGAAUUAUUGGGCGUAAAGGGCGCGUAGGCGGUUUGGCAAGUUUGGUGUGAAAUCUUCGGGCUCAACUCGAAGUCUGCAUCGAAAACUGCCGGGCUUGAGUAUGGGAGAGGUGAGUGGAAUUUCCGGUGUAGCGGUGAAAUGCGUAGAUAUCGGAAGGAACACCUGUGGCGAAAGCGGCUCACUGGACCAUUACUGACGCUGAGGCGCGAAAGCUAGGGGAGCAAACAGG
rnacentral:rRNA from 1 species